rnacentral:rRNA from 1 species
UAGGCUAGAGCGACGCCGAACCGGGGAAGUAGAAACAUCUCACGGUACCCGGAAGGAAAAGAAAACAACAGUGAUUCCUCCUAGGUAGCGGCGAGCGGAACGGGGACGAAGGCCAAACCCGAAGUAGUGAUACUACGGGGGGUUGUAGGGGUCGGCGAUGUGGCAUUCUGAUCGAGAGUCGAACCGCUUGGAACGGCGGGCCAUAGAGGGUGACAGCCCCGUAGUCGAAUCGAGAGGGAGCCUAGCUGAUACCUGAGUACCGCAGGACACGUGCAAUCCGGCGGGAAUCUGGCGGGACCAUCCGCCAAGCCUGAAUACUACCCAUCGACCGAUAGUGAACAAGUACCGUGAGGGGAAAGGUGAAAAGCACCCCGGAAGGGGAGUGAAAUAGAACCUGAAACCGCGAUUGCCUACAAGCACUGGGAGCACGACGUCGCAAGACCGUGUGACCGGGUACCUUUUGCAUAAUGGGCC